CCUACGGGAGGCAGCAGUGGGGAAUAUUGGGCAAUGGGCGCAAGCCUGACCCAGCAACGCCGCGUGAAGGAAGAAGGCUUUCGGGUUGUAAACUUCUUUUGAGAGGGAAGAGUAGAAGACGGUACCUCUUGAAUAAGCCACGGCUAACUACGUGCCAGCAGCCGCGGUAAUACGUAGGUGGCAAGCGUUGUCCGGAUUUACUGGGUGUAAAGGGCGGGCAGCCGGGAAGGCAAGCCAGAUGUGAAAGCCCGGGGCUCAACCGCGGAACUGCCUUUGGAACUGCGUGGCUGGAGUACAGGAGGGGCAGGCGGAAUUCCUGGUGUAGCGGUGAAAUGCGUAGAUAUAAGGAGGAACACCAGUGGCGAAGGCGG
rnacentral:rRNA from 1 species